AAUAGAGGCGCGGCCGACAUCAGUACCGCGCGGGAGCCCUUCACCGGGCAGUGACCGCGCGAAAAAGGGGAGGCCGCCGAAGCGCGGGACCGGGUGAAGGGUCUGCGUGCUGGACGACGGGAGAAUAUCCCGCCGGCUGUCACGGCCCUGCCGUGGAGCGCUAUUC
rnacentral:ncRNA from 1 species